rnacentral:rRNA from 1 species
GGGUGCGAUUAUACCAGCACUAAUGCACUUAAUCCCAUCACAAUACCGCAGUUAAGCGUGCUUGGGCGAGAGUAGUAUGAUAUGUUCAUAAUUUGCAUCAUUUAGGUUGCAUAAA